CUGAACCAGCCAAGUAGCGUGAAGGAUGACUGCCCUAUGGCUUGUAAACUUCAUUUAUAUGGGAAUAAAAUGGUCCACGUGUGGACUUUUCUAUGUACCAUAUGAAUAAGGAACGGCUAACUCCGUGCCAGCAGCCGCGGUAAUACGGAGGAUCCGAGCGUUAUCCGGAUUUAUUGGGUUUAAAGGGAGCGUAGGCGGAUUGUUAAGUCAGUUGUGAAAGUUUGCGG
rnacentral:rRNA from 1 species